rnacentral:lncRNA from 10 species
ACCACUAGCUCCAGCUUGAUAAGGGCAUGGUGACUUGACUGGUGUAUCAGAUGCCUUAAAGAUGAGGGUCUAAGUUUAAGUAAACUUUAUUCCCAGGAACACUAGCCAAGGAGUGCGACUAAAUGCAUGUAUUGAAACCUGGAUCUAAUGCGAUCGUGAAGAUAUCGUUUUACUAAUCUUUUAUUUAUGUCCCACACUUGGUAGGGCACACUUCAGAGAAAGCAAUAAACAUUAUCUGUUAA